UACGAAGGGGGCUAGCGUUGCUCGGAAUGACUGGGCGUAAAGGGCGCGUAGGCGGAGUGCUUUGUCAGACGUGAAAUUCCAGGGCUUAACCUUGGGGCUGCGUUUGAGACGGGCAUUCUAGAGUAGGGAAGAGGGUCGUGGAAUUCCCAGUGUAGAGGUGAAAUUCGUAGAUAUUGGGAAGAACACCGGUGGCGAAGGCGGCGACCUGGACCGGCAUUGACGCUGAUGAGCGAAAGCUAGGGGAGCAAACGGG
rnacentral:rRNA from 1 species